rnacentral:misc_RNA from 1 species
GAAACGCGAUAGUUAAUGUGAAUUGCAGAAUUCAGUGAAUCAUCGAGUCUUUGAACGCACAUUGCGCCCAUAGGUAUUCCUUUGUGCAUGUCUGUUUGAGCGUCAUUACAACCCUCAGCUAACCGCUGGUUUUGAACCUGAACGGGUGACACCGCGCCGGUUUUAAAGUUGUAAGCUCUGCUGGCCGCUCUGCCCAACCAGAACAUAGUAAGCACUACUUGUCCGGGUGAAGCUGAACGGUACGGCCUGAACAAAACCUACCCACUCUCAAGGUUUGACCUCAGAUCAGACAAGGAUACCCGCUGAACUUAAGC